UUAGGGUUUGAUUUAGGAUUUAGGAUUUGGAUUAGGUUUUGGUUUAGGGUUUAGAAUUUGGUUAGGCUUUGAUUUAAGAUUUAGAAUUUGAUUAGGGUUUGAUUUAGGGUUUAGGAUUUGAUUUAGGAUUUAGUUAGGAUUUGGUUUAGCAUUUGAUUGGGAUUUGGUUUAAGGUUUGUUUAGGGUUUGAUUCAAGGUUUAGGAUUUUAUUAGGAUUUAAGAUUUAAUUAGUUUUGGCCUAAAGUUUGAAUGAAGUUCAAUAGGAUUUUAACUAGAAUUAAAUUAAGAUUGAAUUGAGAUGUAUUUGAGUGAUAUUUGUGAUCCUUCUAAUAUUUCUUUAAGAAUUCUUAUUGUUUGUUUGAAAUUUCUUUGAGAUUUUUUUGAAUUUGAUUAAGCUUGCUUAGCAUUAUUAUGGUCUAAUUAGAGCAUUGUUAGUAUUCUAUUAGAAUUAGGAUUUUGUUAUUACAAUUUCCAUUCUUCCUUCCACAGCUAGGUGCCCAGAGCAAUAUCAAGCAAGACUUCACGUAUUACGAUAUAUUUGAUGAAUCUGACAUAAAACGCUUGAGGUGGAAGGAAUUUGGUUUUCUUGGAUUAUUUAUAUUUUGGAGAAGAAAGACGAGAAAGUUGGAAGAAGUGCUUUAGGUGAUAAGUGAAUUCAAAAUUUUGGAUUCUUGGAGCUUUGGAGACUAUCUUAAUAUACAAUGGUAAUAUUUGGAUUAUCAUGGAAUAUUAUAAGGCUUUAUAGAUAUGUUGGAGCAUUUUGAAGUAACAUAAGGUAUUUAUUGGAGCAUUUUGAAGUAACAUAAGGUAUUUAUUGGAGCAUUUCAAAGAAUAUUUUUUAUCAUUGUAGAACAAAAUGGAAGAUGUGUCAUCAAAGUUUUUGGAUAUGUCAAAUAUUAUGGAUCGAUCAAAUAUUAGUGAUUUUUUUAAGGCUUUCUAUAUAUUCAUGGAGAAGCAACAAAGAAUGCAAGAAAUUGAAAAAGAUAUCACAAGGGCAUUGCAAGGAGUCAUCAACAAAUUUGGGAGGUUUGAAGAAUGCAACAUCACUAAGUUUUUGCAAGUUUAUACAUGUGAGAUGGACACAUGCCAAAUCCCUAAGGCAAAGAUGAUUUCAAGCUUAUAUUUGGCUAUUGAACCUAGAUUUUAGAUAAAGGUGAAGAGAUUGCUUGAAGGGGGUAUAGAAACAUGGUCAAAAUUUCAAGAACUUUUGAAGAAAGAAUUUAUUGAUGGAUAUGAAGAUAGGAUUACCAAGUAAAAGUUUUUGAAUUGGAUAGAAUUUCAAUCAGGCAAGCAUAUGGAUCUUUAUGAAUUCUUAGAAGAAUUUGAUAGGAGAUUUUAUCAACUCUCAUCCUUAGAGAGACAAUCAUUGGGUGCUUUAAAGGUAGAUUUGUUUUUAAAUGGUCUUGAUGAUGCCUUGGGAGAUGAGGUUUUCAUGCUUCUUGAAGAUGAGGCUAUGGGGAGUGAUUAUACUAAUAAUUGGGAGAAGUUGAAGAAAGUAGUGGUUUUUUUAGCAAGGCAAUAAGAAGCAAAAGCUAAAGAAGUUUCAAUAUGGCCUAAGAAAUCUUCUACUUUGGCUUCUAUGUCAUCUUUAUUAAUACAAGGAACUAAUCUUAAAAAAAAAGAAAUAGAAGAGCAAAUAGGGGAUUUUAAUGGAGAAGCCAAUUCUUUAUAGAUGAAAGAAAUUGGAUCUUAUACCAAGGGUGGUGAAGGAGAGAAGAAAGAUUCUUUUCAAACUAUUACUAUAGAAGGCUAAGGUAUUCAAAAAUUUGAAGGUAAUAUGAAGAUUAAGGAUUGAGAAACUAAUGACAAUGCGGUUGGAAGCUAUGGCUAUUCUAUAUUGAAUAAGUUUGUACAAGUUGGUGAUGGCAAUUUGGAUGAAAAAUCUUUUGGUGAUGAAAAGGCAUUUUCUACAUUUGAAGGAGGUAUCAAGGACAAGAACUCGAUAAAAAAGUAAUUCAGACAAGUGAGCCUUCACUCAAAGAAAAUUAACAAAAUAUAAAUAAAUAAGUAUGUAUAUUGAAAGUGAAACUGGGAUGGCUAUUGCCAAAAGACAAAAAAACUAGAGGCCCUUGAAACUAGAUUGAAAGCAAGAAAAGAGUUGACAAGAGUGAAGAAGGCUUCACUCUUGUCUUUAUAUAUACUAUCUAACUAAAGACUACAUGGCGACAUUCUAUAGGACCUCCAAUAUGUGUUGACUUUAUAGGACAUAUGCCUUGACUUACAAGGCAAGUUUUUCUAUGUGUGGGCCAUAUAGUUAGCUUGGUCUUCAAGCUAACAACAUGUAAGGCACAUGGUCAACUUGUUGACUACGUUUCUAAUCCAAAAAGUCAAUUAAAGAUACCUAUGAAGUCAAAGUAGUAUCUAUGAAGCUUCUAGAAAGCUUCCAUAUCAAAUACUAUAGAAUUAACUUAUUUUUACUUACUUUUAUUUAUUUCUGCAUAUUUGUAUAUGUAAUUAUGAGUAUGUCCAUGACAAGAGGUGAGGAUGUUUUGCCUAAUACUUUGGAUUAUGUUGAAGAAUUUAAGGUUGAACCUUUACAAAAAAUAGAUUAUGGAUCCAUUGAAGGUUAUAAUCAUGAAGAUUGUAUGAGUUCUCAAUAUUAUGAUAUGAGCAGUGGUGGGAUUAUGCAUGGAUUUGAUGAUGAAAGUCAAAUUGCAUAUGGCUAUGAGACCACAUAUGAGUUGGCUAAAAGAAGUUAUGAAUUUUCACAUGAUUAUUAUAAAGAGGGUUAUAAGAUUGCAUAAGGUUAUGAUACUAAAUGUGGUUGUGAAAUCACAAAGGAUUAUUGUGAAAGUUAUGAGACUUUUCAAGAGCAUGAGAUUUCAAACAAGCAUGAGAAUUUUCAAUAUUAUGAGGUUAUACGAUGCUUCGAGACAACAAAAGAUUAUGAUAUUUCACAAGGAUGCAUUCAAGAAGACAUGAAGGAUGUUAUACAAAAUUAUGUGGCAAAUGAAGAUUAUGGAACAAAAGAUAAGGAUGCUAAGUCAUUGACUAUGAUUAAGUUAAUUGUGAGCACUUCUCUAUUGGACCAAGGUUAAAGUUACAUAGAUAAUUCACAUGUAAUGGAAAUACAAUUGGAUGUUGACAAAGAUAAGAUUUAUCAUCAAGUAUGGAAUUCAAGGAUUGAAAAUCUAAAAAUCUUCAAAUAUAAAGACAAGAGAAAUGGAUUUAAAGAUUACAUGGACAUCAUAAAUGGGACUUGGAAUCAAAGAAAUAAGAAAAAAGAUACAAGCAAGAUAUAUGUGGCUAUGUGGAAGAGGUUUCAAUUCAAUCUUUUCAUUUCAAAUUUUUUACCUCGUCAAUGGUUUGAUCAUGUACAAAGGAGGAUAUUUGCAAACUACUUGCACAUGUGGAGUAAAUGGAAACAUUGGCAUUAAAAUUUAUAUAUAUAUAUAUAUAUAUAUAUAUAUAUAUAUAUAUAUAUAUAAAGAUUUUGGAGAAGUAUCAUUGUAAAGCAAGACUAUGGAGGUAUAAAAGGGGGAUACAUUUACAAGAUAUAGAUGCCUUUGAUUUAAGUUUUAUUGAAAAAAAAAAAAAAAAAAAAAAAAAAAAAAAAUUAGAGAAGUAUCAUUGUAAAGUAAGAGUAUGGAGAUAUAAAAAGGGAGGUAAAUUUACAAGAUAUAGAUGCCUUUGAUUUAAGUUUUAUUGAAAAAAAAAAAUUUAGAGAAGUAUCAUUGUAAAGCAAGACUAUGGAGGUAUAAAAAGGGAGGUACAUUUACAAGAUAUAGAUGCCUUUGAUUUAAUUUUUAUUGGAAAAAAAAAAAAAAAAAAAAAAAAAAAAAUUGGGAAGUUUCUUUGUAAAGCAAGACUAUGGAGGUAUAAAAAGGGAGGUACUUUUACAAGAUAUAGGGGCCUUUGAUUUAAGUUAAAAAAAAAAAAAAAAAAAAAAAAAAAAAAUGAUUGAGAAAGAAUUAUGUGAGUUAGGAAUAUUGGAAGAUGAUGAAAGAUUUUUGAUAUUUAUCAAGAAAAUGGAUUGAAAGAUUCUUGAAAGAAAUUGCAUAUAUUGGAUUAAAGGAUGAUGACAAUAGAAGCGAGUGAAGAUAUUCAAACAAAAGCAAAUAUAAAUAAAUAUAGAAGACUUUGUCAAAGACAUAAAUCUUUCAAGACAACAAGAUGACUUUGAUUUGAAUAGCGAAUAUCAAGAAGAAUUGGAUGAGGACAUUAAAAAUAUUGUAUGAAUCAAAUAAAGUUGGAUUAUUUGGUGCAUACCGGAGGAUGCACAAGUUCAGAGGAGGUGGAUGUCGUGUUAUAACACGACUAUGUAGUGAAAGAUGAUAACAUGAAUCUUAUUAUAGAAGAGCCAAGUUAAAAGAAAAAGUAGAAAAAUAUGAAUAAAAGAUAGGAAGGUAAUAAAACUUUUAGUAGCAAUGUUGCCUUUUUAGAAGGUAACUUCUACUUACUUUGUAGCACCAUAAGUAAGGCAAAAUAAGGUAGAUUGGAAAAAUAAAUGAUAUAAACAUCUUUAGGAGGAAGUUAAGAGUAAAUUCUAGAAAAAAAAAUUACUUAAAAAAACUAGAUAUUGAUACCCAGAGAGGGUCGGUUAUGAAUCAGGGUAUGAAUCAGGGUCGAAAUCAAACCCUGGGGCACAAAACCGAGUCUCAACAAUGACUCUAGAGUCUUUGGCAGAUUGGAGAGUGGGAUUUGAUAGAAGAGUAGAUUAGGGUUUGGUUAGGAUUUGAUUUAGGAUUUUAGGUUUGGAUUAGGUUUUGGUUUAGGAUUUAGGAUUUAGAUUAGGUUUUGGUUUAGGGUUUAGAAUUUGGUUAGGCUUUGAUUUAAGAUUUAGAAUUUGAUUAGGGUUUGAUUUAGGGUUUAGGAUUUGAUUUAGGAUUUAGUUAGGAUUUGGUUUAGCAUUUGAUUGGGAUUUGGUUUAAGGUUUGUUUAGGGUUUGAUUCAAGGUUUAGGAUUUUAUUAGGAUUUAAGAUUUAAUUAGUUUUGGCCUAAAGUUUGAAUGAAGUUCAAUAGGAUUUUAACUAGAAUUAAAUUAAGAUUGAAUUGAGAUGUAUUUGAGUGAUAUUUGUGAUCCUUCUAAUAUUUCUUUAAGAAUUCUUAUUGUUUGUUUGAAAUUUCUUUGAGGUUUUUUUUGAAUUUGAUUAAGCUUGCUUAGCAUUAUUAUGGUCUAAUUAGAGCAUUA
rnacentral:lncRNA from 1 species